rnacentral:rRNA from 1 species
GAUGAACGCUAGCGGGAGGCCUAACACAUGCAAGCCGAGCGGUAGAGAUCUUUCGGGAUCUUGAGAGCGGCGUACGGGUGCGGAACACGUGUGCAACCUGCCUUUAUCAGGGGGAUAGCCUUUCGAAAGGAAGAUUAAUACCCCAUAAUAUAUUGAAUGGCAUCAUUUGAUAUUGAAAACUCCGGUGGAUAGAGAUGGGCACGCGCAAGAUUAGAUAGUUGGUAGGGUAACGGCCUACCAAGUCAGUGAUCUUUAGGGGGCCUGAGAGGGUGAUCCACCACACUGGUACUGAGACACGGACCAGAAUCCUACGGGAGGCAGCAGUGAGGAAUAUUGGACAAUGGGUGAGAGCCUGAUCCAGCCAUCCCGCGUGAAGGACGACGGCCCUAGGGGUUGUAAACUUCUUUUGUAUAGGGAUAAACCUUUCCACGGGUGGAAAGCUGAAGGUACUAUACGAAUAAGCACCGGCUAACUCCGUG